GACGAACGCUGGCGGCAUGCCUAACACAUGCAAGUCGAACGGAGAUUAUUUCGAUAAUCUUAGUGGCGAACGGGUGAGUAACGCGUGGGCAACCUGCCCUCUAGAUGGGGACAACAUCCCGAAAGGGGUGCUAAUACCGAAUGUGACAGCAAUCUCGCAUGAGGAUGCUGUGAAAGAUGGCCUCUAUUUAUAAGCUAUCGCUAGAGGAUGGGCCUGCGUCUGAUUAGCUAGUUGGUGGGGUAACGGCCUACCAAGGCGAUGAUCAGUAGCCGGUCUGAGAGGAUGAACGGCCACAUUGGGACUGAGACACGGCCAAGACUCCUACGGGAGGCAGCAGUGGGGAAUCUUCCGCAAUGGGCGAAAGCCUGAAGGAGCAAUGCCGCGUGAGUGAUGAAGGAAUUCGUUCCGUAAAGCUCUUUUGUUUAUGACGAAUGUGCAAGUUGUGAAUAAUGACUUGUAAUGACGGUAGUAAACGAAUAAGCCACGGCUAACUACGUGCCAGCCGCCGCCGUAA
rnacentral:rRNA from 1 species